rnacentral:rRNA from 1 species
CAGUCGCCACGGGAAUACGUGGGUGCGAGCGUUAAACGGAAUUACUGGGCGUAAAGCGUGCGCAGGCGGUUAUGUAAGACAGUUGUGAGAUCCCCGGGCUCAACCUGGGAACUGCAUCUGUGACUGCAUAGCUAGAGUACGGUAGAGGGGGAUGGAAUUCCGCGUGUAGCAGUGAAAUGCGUAGAUAUGCGGAGGAACACCGAUGGCGAAGGCAAUCCCCUGGACCUGUACUGACGCUCAUGCACGAAAGCGUGGGGAGCAAACAGGAUUAGAUACCCCUGUAGUCCCUGUCUCUUAUACA